rnacentral:rRNA from 1 species
UACGUAGGGGCCUAGCGUUGUCCGGAUUUAUUGGGCGUAAAGAGCUCGUAGGCGGUUUGGUAAGUCAGGUGUGAAAUCUCCACGCUCAACGUGGAGGGGCCACCCGAAACUGCCAUGACUUGAGUCCGGUAGGGGAGUGUGGAAUUCCCGGUGUAGCGGUGAAAUGCGCAGAUAUCGGGAGGAACACCCGUAGCGAAGGCGGCACUCUGGGCCGUUACUGACGCUGAGGAGCGAAAGCGUAGGGAGCAAACAGG